rnacentral:lncRNA from 1 species
UUUUUGGACCCGGAACUAAAAGAGCUUUAGUCUCGGGUCAAAUUCCCACCACCGACGGCCACCUCCGAUGGGCUCCUUAGUCCUGGUUGGUAAUAUCAACCGGGACUAAAUAGGCCCCUUUAGUCCCGCAUUGUAACAGCUAGUAAAGCUAGAAGAAUCAAGGGGAAUCUGGUGGGACGUUUAGUCCCGGUUACCAAUCAGGACUAAACGUCCGACCUAUAAAAUCCCCUUCUUC